AUGUUACUGUGAGUGGGUUUUAUUUUAAAGACCCUACAAGCAAUAACUUUGUCUUAGUGGAUAAUGAUUUUAGUUUACUAAAGCUUAUAGAUGACCUUGGUGAUGGUAACUUUUUGGACUUGUAUGUUGAACAUGUUGUGGAUGAGCUAGAGGUUGUUAAAGAUGGUGUCCCUACAGGUUAUCUUUGCGGGCCAACAAUUGGUGAAAGUGUUAAUGAGAAUGGGGUAGAAAACUCACAUAAUAUUAAUGUGGAUUAAGAGGACCAAUAAAGAGCUGCGCAAUCUGAGAAUACUGAUAUUAAAGUUGGUGUGGAUGAAGGGUUCCAACAAGGAGAUACCAAAUAUGAGAAUAUUAAUGCUGAAGUUGGUGUAGAUGAUACAUCAGAUCUUGAAGGUGUUGAAACUAAUUGGGAUUGCAGUGAUGAUUCACAAGAGUAUUUUAUUCCAGAUGAAGAUGAUUCGAAAAUUGAUGAAGAGUUGAGAAAUUUUAAAAAUGAAAGGAGAAUAAAAUUGCAGGAAAAAAACUAAUUCCUACAGAGGAAAUAAUUCUUGGAGUAGCUAAUGUAAAUAGGGGAUUUGAAGACAUUGGAAGAAACAAAACUGCUAGGUAUGAAGGAAGAUUGGGGGAGAGGAACAAUAUAUUGAUAGUUCAGAACUGGAUAGUGAUGAUAGUAGGGAUGAAUUAGAUCCUGAAGUUGAGGAAAUCUAGAAAAAAAAAGUAAAAAGGUUAGAUUUGAUCCUGAUUGUGUAGUUGUUAUAUUUGAGCUUGGUAUGGUAUUUGAAAAUGCUAUAGAAUUCAGAAAAGUUGUAGCAGAGUAUGCUGUGGCAUAUAAAGUCAAAUUAAAAUUGAGGCCUAAUGAAAAACAUAAAGUCAGAGUUAAAUGCCAACAUAAGAAAUGCAAAUGGCUGUUAUAUGCUAGUCUAAACAAAGACUCUGGUGACUUUAUUGUUAAAAACUACUAUCCUGUUUAUCAGUGCCUACCACAACCAAAAACAAGUUGUAUACAUUUAACUUUAUUGCAAAUAAGUUUAGGGAUAAAAUAGUUUCUCAAUCUCAUAUAAAAUUGUGGAAAAUUCAUGAGUUGGUGAGGAAGAAGACAAGAUUGUAUGUUGGAAGAACUCUUUGUUAUAUAGCAAAAUUGAUGAUUCUUAAGGAGUUUAUGGGUGAUUGGAAGAUGGAGUUUGCAAAGUUGUGUGAUUAUGCAAACAUGAUAAAACAAACUAAUCUUGGUAGUUCAUGUUGGGUAAGGAAAGACAGGGAAUCUACUCCAUGAAAGAAUAUGUUUGUUUACUUUUAUGUUUGUUUUGAUGCAUUAAAGAGAGGUUGGUUUGAAUGAUGUAGAAUAAUAAUUGUGUUUGAUGGAUGUUUUCUGAAGGGUACUUACAAGGGUGAAUUAUUGGUUGUAGUUGGUAGAAAUAAAAAUCAACAAAUGUUUCCAAUUGCUUGGGUAGUUGUUGAUCAAGAAACAAAGCACAAUUGGAGUUUCUUCAUCAAUUUCUUGAUACAAGAUCUAAACUUAGGCACCGGACAUGUAUUGAUUGUGAUAUCUGAUAUGCAAAAUGGUCUUGUAGCAGCGUAAUGAAGUAGGUGCCAAAUUGUGAGCAGAGGGUAUGUGCUAGACACAUCUGGUCCAAUUGGCAGAAGACCUAGAGAGGAGAAUAAAGAAGAAAACAAUUCCGGAGAUGUGCAAAAUCAAGUUUUGAGCUUGGAAGCUCACCCAGCCUGGACCUGGAAGGUCAAGCCAACGUGCUAGCUCAUGUCAGCUUGGAAGCUCACCCAGCCUGGACCUGGAAGGUCAAGCCAACCUGCUAGCUCAUGUCAGCCUCAAAGCUCAAGGCAACCUGCAUGCUCAAGGCAACCUGUAGGUAUUGGCCAACCACCAAGCUCAGGACAACAUGUAGGUUCAAGCCAUCCACCUCAUGGUAACCAUUACAACAUGUCAACUCAGGCCACAAUCAACCUCUAUUUGUGAUGAUACUUCAAUUGUUGGAAGAGUUUAAUAAGCUGAAAGAGGUAGGGGAGAAGGUAGGGGGAGAGGAGGUGAUGAUACUUCAAUUGUUACAAAAGGGCAACAAGCAGGAAGAUGUAUGGGAAGAGAAGGAGAAUCAACAUCAACAGGAGGAAACAAAAGGCCUAAGACUGUUGGAUUUUCAAUCUACAUUGAUGAUAAAAAUGACAAAAAAAAUUAAAUGUAAAGAGUUUUUACUCCAGUUGUUUUCAAGUGUGCAGCACCAACCAACAUUGAUAUUGAUUAUAAGCCUCGUGGACUGAAAUGGAAGGUUAAAUAUGGUGUCACCAAUUCACAAUUACAACGCAAGUCAAAAGGGGUGGAUCUGCAAAUGUCUAGUGCAACAAAAACAAGAACAUGGGUGUGACUACUUUAAUGUGUAUUGGGUGUUUUUGAUGUACACUUGGGGCUUGUUUAAUUUUGAGUCUGUAAUGCACGCAGAAAAAAAUACUAAGACUACUUUAAUAUGUUUUUGAUGUAAAUUAUAACUAAUGAUUUAACUGUGGAUUUUCUUGAAAGGAAAUACAAAGAUUUUUUUGUCGAUAA